rnacentral:rRNA from 1 species
CCUACGGGUGGCUGCAGUCGAGAAUCUUCGGCAAUGGGCGCAAGCCUGACCGAGCGACGCCGCGUGCGGGAUGAAGGCCCUCGGGUUGUAAACCGCUGUCGAGGGGGACGAAAUUUUAGUGGGUACUCCCAUUAAAUUGACCGAUCCCUGGAGGAAGGGUGGGCUAAGUUCGUGCCAGCAGCCGCGGUAAGACGAACCACCCAAACGUUAUUCGGAAUCACUGGGCUUAAAGCGUGCGUAGGCGGCCUUGAAAGUUAGGUGUGAAAUCCCACAGC